CUUUCACCUUUUCCAUGAAAAACGAUUUGCGUCAAUUGAAUAUCGAUAAAAAAGAAAAUGUUGUUGUUCCUAUUAAGAGUUACAGAGAUAUUCCAAUCGUCACUUAUGAUUUUUGUAUGGUGGGGAUGUUUCUCGCAUACAAUCCAAUCAAUUUUUAGAAUAGGCAGACCUCUUUGACAGAUUUAUGGCAUGCUUUAGAGGGGGUAUCUAUUAUGGAAUUGGAGGCAAAAAAAAUAUUUGUUUCAGUUUUU
rnacentral:lncRNA from 1 species